rnacentral:lncRNA from 1 species
UAAACCCGUCUCUUUGGUCCCUGCCUUCUUGCAGCAUUCACAGUUCCUAUCUGGCUUGCUUGCUUGCCUGCUUGCCUAGUGUGUUGCUGAACCCUCAAGAGGGUUAAGAAGCAGUGCCAUCCUCAGACCUGGGCUGAGAGCCAGAAAAAGCAACGCAGCAAUGGUGUUAACUCUCCAAGGCAGAAUCAGUCCUGUGUUUGAGAUUUCUUUCUCUAUAACCUGGACAAGAAAGAGAUGUUAAAAGCUAAGUAAAUGAUAAAUACUGAAGGUGCAUUAAAUUGUCAGUGAGUUACUGAACUCGGGUACCCAGCUGGCUUGUCAGAAGCUCAAGAUGCAGUUGUGUGUUCUUACGGUGGGCAGACUGCCUAAUGGAAGCUUGACCUGAGCCCUGUCCUGCCCCCGUGCUUUUUGCAGUGACUAUAUCUAAAUUGCUGUUUUCUGUCAUGAUUGCAGAACUGCCCUCUCCAGGCUUCCUUCCUGACGCAGGAGCAUCAUGUCCUACUGGCUGUGCCCACCACACUCAGCACCUCUGUGCAUUGAAUUUAGAGCUUGGCAAAGGACAAAUUCAGAGAGCAGCCUGAAAGAACUAUUCAGACAGCUUGGAGAGGAUGUCUGGCUGAUAUGUUCUUAGGGAGCUGAAGCGUUGGUCCCACAGUAAGUAUAGUUACCUCCACAGCACCUUGUAUUUAAAAUUCAUGGCUACCCAGAGCAAUCACUAUCAGAAAACCUGUGCUGUGCCCAUCUCUGUGUGUGGUAUUUGCACACCUCCCACCAGCUGGAAGGAAUUUUCAGUACUGGAUGAGCUUGCACUUCUCUGAGAAGUGAUGCCCGUUAUCAAGUAUACCUCAUCUUUUUA